UACGUAGGGGGCAAGCGUUGUCCGGAUUUAUUGGGCGUAAAGAGCGUGUAGGCGGUUUGGUGGGUCUGUUGUGAAAACUCGAGGCUCAACCUCGAGACGCCGAUGGAAACCAUCAGACUAGAGUCCGGAAGAGGAGAGUGGAAUUCCUGGUGUAGCGGUGAAAUGCGCAGAUAUCAGGAAGAACACCCGUGGCUAAGGCGGCUCUCUAGUACGGUACUGACGCUGAGACGCGAAAGCGUGGGGAGCGAACAGG
rnacentral:rRNA from 1 species